AUAUGUAUGUGUGCAGGCACAUGUGUACACGUGUGCACACACACACUCACACACACACACACACACACACUCUCAGAUACACACA
rnacentral:miRNA from 1 species